AACGAACGCUGGCGGCAUGCCUAACACAUGCAAGUCGAACGAUGCCUUCGGGCAUAGUGGCGCACGGGUGCGUAACGCGUGGGAAUCUGCCCUUGGCUUCGGAAUAACAGUUAGAAAUGACUGCUAAUACCGGAUGAUGUCCCCCUGAGAGAUCUUGGGGACCAAAGAUUUAUCGGCCAGGGAUGAGCCCGCGUAGGAUUAGGUAGUUGGUAGGGUAAAGGCCUACCAAGCCGACGAUCCUUAGCUGGUCUGAGAGGAUGAUCAGCCACACUGGGACUGAGACACGGCCCAGACUCCUACGGGAGGCAGCAGUGGGGAAUAUUGGACGAUGGGGGGAACCCUGAUCCAGCAAUGCCGCGUGAGUGAUGAAGGCCUUAGGGUUGUAAAGCUCUUUUACCAGGGAUGAUAAUGACAGUACCUGGAGAAUAAGCUCCGGCUAACUCCGUG
rnacentral:rRNA from 1 species